UAGAGUUUGAUCCUGGCUCAGGACGAACGCUGGCGGCGCGCUUAACACAUGCAAGUCGAGCGAGAACCGAGGCUUCGGCCUCGGGGACAGCGGCGAACGGGUGAGUAACACGUGGGUAAUCUGCCCUCGGCAUCGGGAUAGCCCGGGGAACCCGGAUUAAUACCGAAUGGCCUCUCGAGCUCUCGGGCUCGUGAGAAAAGGUAGCUUCGGCCUCUGGCCGAGGAGGAGCCCGCGGCGGAUUAGCUUGUUGGCGGGGUAACGGCCCACCAAGGCGACGAUCCGUAGCUGGUCUGAGAGGACGAUCAGCCACACUGGGACUGAGACACGGCCCAAACUCCUACGGGAGGCAGCAGUGGGGAAUCUUGCGCAAUGGGCGAAAGCCUGACGCAGCGACGCCGCGUGAGGGAAGAAGGCCUUCGGGUUGUAAACC
rnacentral:rRNA from 1 species